rnacentral:lncRNA from 1 species
UAUUAGGUAGGUGCCCAUUCUGUUCCUAUCUUCAGAAGUUAUUUAUACCUAUGCAAUACCUUUGCUCAGGUUAAAGAAUGGAAUACUAGUCUUGCAUCAAAUAUAUUUUACAUAUCCAUUCGAUGUUUAUCACCAGAAGUUAGUUCUACCUUUGCAGUACCUCUGCUCUACAUACCUCCUCGCUGGUUAAAGAAUGGAAUAUAAAUCUCAUAUCAAGUUGGUGUAAAAAUUUAGUUCAAUAAGUUAAGAAUUUGUAAACGUUAUCAAAAUUUUGAGUGGAGCAAUUGUUUUUCUGGUUUAGCAUGAGUAUGAAUCUGAUAUCAAUUGGAUGUACAAAGAUAGUUUACAACUUAAAGAACCUAUCAGUAAACCAACUGAUUAUUAAACAGUUUUUAAUGGGAAUAAAAACAAAUUUUUAAAAGA